UGGGGAAUCUUGCGCAAUGGGCGAAAGCCUGACGCAGCGACGCCGCGUGGGUGAUGAAGGCCUUCGGGUUGUAAAGCCCUGUGGGGAGGGACGAAUAAGUCAUGGCUAAUAUCCAUGGCGAUGACGGUACCUCCUUAGCAAGCACCGGCUAACUCUGUGCCAGCAGCCGCGGUAAGACAGAGGGUGCAAACGUUGUUCGGAAUUACUGGGCGUAAAGCGCGUGUAGGCGGCAAGGCAAGUCGGGUGUGAAAUCCCUGGGCUCAACCCAGGAAGUGCACUCGAUACUGCCGAGCUGGAGUCCCGGAGAGGAUGGUGGAACUCUCGGUGUAGAGGUGAAAUUCGUAGAUAUCGAGAAGAACACCGGUGGCGAAGGCGGCCAUCUGGACGGUGACUGACGCUGAGACGCGAAAGCGUGGGGAGCAAACAGGAUUAGAUACCCGUGUAGUCC
rnacentral:rRNA from 1 species